UACGUAGGGGUCUAGCGUUGUCCGGAAUCAUUGGGCGUAAAGAGCUCGUAGGCGGUUCGGCAAGUCGGAUGUGAAAUCUCCACGCUCAACGUGGAGGGGCCAUUCGAAACUGCCGUGACUCGAGUCCGGUAGGGGAGUGCGGAAUUCCCGGUGUAGCGGUGAAAUGCGUAGAGAUCGGAAAGAACACCAACGGCGAAAGCACUCUGCUGGGCCGACACUGACACUGAGAGACGAAAGCUAGGGGAGCGAAUGGG
rnacentral:rRNA from 1 species